GACGUAGGGGGCCAGCGUUGCUCGGAAUUACUGGGUGUAAAGGGUUCGUAGGCGGUGUGGCAAGUCGGGAGUGAAAUCUCUGGGCUCAACCCAGAGUCUGCUUCCGAAACUGCUGUGCUUGAGUGUGGGAGAGGCGCGUGGAAUUGCAGGUGUAGCGGUGAAAUGCGUAGAUAUCUGCAGGAACACCCGUGGCGAAAGCGGCGCUCUGGACCACUACUGACGCUGAGGAACGGAAGCUAGGGGAGCAAACAGG
rnacentral:rRNA from 1 species